CGGCCGCCGGCGGGCGUCCUGGCGCGGCGGCACCUCGGGGGUGCCGGGCGCGCGCCUUCCCCGCGCGGCGGGGAGCGCGCGGCAGCCGUUGGCGCGGGGCAGCGCCGCCCCUCAGAGCGGCCGGGCGGGGGCCGCGUCCCGGGCCCGGCGGCGCCGCCCGCCUCCUCCCGCCCUUCCAUCAACACGUGCCGUGGGCGGGAGAGGCUGGCGGCGCAUCCCGGGAAAGAGUUGGCCGGGAGGAACUAGCCGGGCCUGCUUUUCCUCCCCCGUAGGCCCUCCUGGGGCGGGAGCGCAGGCCGCAGCCAGCCGCCGCCUGAGCGAGCUUGUCGCUAGGCUCCGUGCCCCGCGCGGGCGGCCGCCCCCAGCCCCGGCACCGAGGCGGCGCCUUACCCGCCGCCCAGAAGGGCUUUCCCGCUGAGGAGGGUGGGGGAGCACCUCUAGGGAAGGCCGGGAAGGUGUGAGGACGAGCAGUGGCCAAGCAGGUGUCACGGAGGGACUGCUGGCCGAGCAGAGGGCUCGGGAUGAGGAGGAGCAGCUCAGCUGGAUAUGGCUGCGGGGCCGGGGAGCUCCAUCCACAUGCUGGUGGGUCGGCGCCAUGGAAAAUGGACAAGCUGCCAGGAUUCACAGAAGGACUUCUAAACAGAGAGCAGCUUCCGUGACUGCUUAGGAAAUCCAUGAAGUCUCCAACAACCACCAGCCAUGUGUGAUCCUUGAGAGUGCUGCUUAAAACAUAAAACUCACGCAAACUAGAAGUUGUUGGAAUUUGUAGAACUUGGAAACGCCCAUUGCCUAAAAGGCAGAUGUCUGUCUGAAGGAGUUAGAGGUUGUUAUUACCAAACCAUUCCAAAGCUCCAAACAGGUUUCUAAGUUCUGAGAAACAUGAUCCCCACAUGCCCCAUCUCACAGAGCUUUCUGAAGUCUACACUGGAAAGAAAUGCCUGAAGAACCCAUUUAGUUGUAACCGCUACAUUCAUCAUCUGCUCUAACAGCAUAUAAAUUUCACGGGUUUGAGCAUUUGGAAGAAACCUGAUCACCAUUUCAUGCAGUCCUUGCUGACUACACUGAAGAGCUGACACAGAGACAAGAGAAAGCACCAGAGAGAGAUUGCUCACAGCAUGCCCCAAGACCAAAGUUCCCCACACUGUGAAAUCUCUAGCAAUGUAAGUUUUGGAACAUGAAGGAUUUUUCCACAAUGCCAGGACAGCAUGGGAUUAAUGCAACACUGAAUCUGGCAAGACUCAGGUUCCACAGUUCCAUGGAAACCUUUUGCUUUCAGGAGCCUUUUCUUUUCAGGAAGCCUUCCAGUUGAUCCCAAACUGUGGGUGUGGAGAAAGCUGUGGUUGUACAGGCUGUCUGGGGUAGAUACUCAAGAGGAGUUGCUACUCCAUUACUGAGCUGGAAGAAUGGAGUUAAAAUAUGGAUCCUGUGCAUUUUACAAAAUCAAAAGUAGCAGGGGCCUUGCCAAAAGAUUAAACAGACGGAGUCCGGUAGGCCUAAAAGAGUAGUAUAUGAUGGAGGCAUGCAUAACCAGGGCUGUUGCUACCAGAUCUGCCGUGGUGUACAUGCAAUGUCCGAGGUAGGUACCAAGCCACCGAGAUGGAGCAAGCAUAACCAGUUAAGUAGGAAGGAGACUCCGUUCCUUGCACCAGAGCUCGUGCCAAUCGCACUGUACCCAUAUAACUACCUAGCAUAUAUUUCCUUCCGCCUCUACUAGCAAUGAACGCCCUUAAACCUCUUUAGGUAAUACAACUGGGCCUAAGUAUACUCAUAACCGUAACUGUGCCUGUGCAGAAAAAAAAGGGUAAAACGGUGACACCUCAAAACUGCAGAAAAUGCACAAAGCACCGUGGAUAUAGUCAUAUACUGUAAGUUACACUGAAUAGAACAUGCAAUUUACACAUGCUGCUGUGUUACUAAAUAAUUAUUUUCAACAUAUCUGAUACCAUGUUAAGUUUCCAAUAUCUAGUAUUUUCCAAAGCCACAGAUUACAGCUGGAAAGAUUAGUUCUUUAAAACAACAUAUUACUUUUAGAUGUAUGUGGGGGACUGUUAAGUUCAGCACAAUGCUUUAAAUCCCAUCACAAUAAGGAUUUGGAUGUGUGCCUAUUACAUCAAAACAGAUAACGCACAAUACAUUUAAUAAGAAUUAGGCUUGCACAUUUGAAGGAAGAAAUAAAUCCCUGCGGGAUGUAAUGUCAGGCCUGAUGUUCAGGCACCUAGCCAUGAACUUCAGUGAACUGCAAGGGAAGGUUUAUAGCAAACAUAAACUGAAAGUAUACUUGUAUUUUCACAGGGAAAAUGACAGACAUCUUUCUCACUGAUUCAACAUUUGUGACCUGCACCGUGAUCAAAAAGCUCAGAACCUUUAUAGAAGCCACAUGGCAGUAAAAAAAGAAAAAGAAAAAGAAAAAGAAAAAGAAAAAGAAAAAGAAAAAGAAAAAGAAAAAGAAAAAGAAAAAGAAAAAGAAAAAGAAAAAGAAAAAGAAAAAGAAAAAGAAAAAGAAAAAGAAAAAGAAAAAGAAAAAGUUGACUGAAUAUCAAACACAUCACAAACCCAGCCAGCGGCUUAGAGUAGCUAACAUGAUAUAGGGAUUUGAGGUAUGCAAACAGAAAAUCAGGCUUGCAUGCAGGAUGCGCUGCUUCAGCUGCAGGUUUUACAGCUCAGCAUAAGAAUCUCUACUAAAUCUAUUUCCUGGCUAUGCAGGACAACAGAAGAUGAUAAUAAAUCUUUAAUUCCUUAUUACAUCUCUGAACAUAGCCACUUAUUCAGUGUUUUUGGUAGAUCAUAUGAAACGAAUACAUCUACCCACUAGCAAAAGCAGUCCUGUGCUUCCAUAUUCUGCAACUUUGGGUUGUAUUUAUUCCAAACAAAACAUAACCAAAUGAUUACGGAUAUGGAUGGAAACUACUCCUUUACUGCAUCAUUUUAGGCGAGUCAAAUGUCAAUCAUAGGGUCAUCCAAAUAAAUUGCUCACAAAUUUCAGUGCUAUCACAACAUGAUAUAUUUUCAUCCAGUUACACAAUCGAGUAGUUACACGGGGCUUGGUCUUAGGAACUCAUUGCAUUCACACACCCAGUGAAGUACACGAGAGUUGCAUGUGCAGAGUGCUUUCAGAUUUGAACACACACUUCAGGAAUUUUGCACUGUCUUUCCUAAAAACAUGCUAAUUUGUUAUCCUUUUCAUUCAAAUGCCUCUCACUGAUAGCAUUUUAAUUUUAGUGGUUUAAAAGUAAAUGCAUUAGAAUAUUUUAAGACAAAAAUAUAACAAUGUAUGUUCAUGUUAAUGCUGUUUUAAAACAUUAUUUGGUUAUCAGUAAGGAGAAAGCCAGAUUUUUCACAGGG